rnacentral:lncRNA from 1 species
ACAGACAGACAGACACACGAGUGAUCCUAUAAGGUUCCCGUUUUUCCUUUUUGAGGUACAGAAUCCUAAAAACGAAACUUUUUUUACGAAAGUGAGAGUGAGAAGAGAGUAAAUCCAUCUCACUGUCACUUUUAUGAAACAAUUCCAAUAUAAAAUGUGAAAAUUUCAAAGGGAUACCCUGUAAGAAAUUCCUAAUUUAUUUGCUUCUACAGUUAACAAUAUUGUCCUUUUAUUCGAAAAUGUUUGAACGAUGUAUCAAAUGUGAAACGUUAUUCGACUUAAACGUGGCCUAAACGAAAAUAUUACUUUGCUAAAUGAAAAUUGUCCAAUAAUAGUUCGAAUAAUUUGCACAGAAGCGAACUAAACCGAACCAAGAUUCUACAUAAAACGUUAUUUGACCAAAAGUGACAGCUAUAGUUUGAUUAUUCUACUAAAUGGCAUUCGGCGAAUCGUUGUCGGCGAAUCAAUAAUAGGCUAAAAAAAAUAUCGGAGAAUCACUAUAGGUGUAGCCAUUUAUUUAAAUAAAAAACUAAAUCCUUAUAUAGUUUCUUUUUGACCCAGUGGUUGACUGGUGGAGAAUGCUUUAAGGCAUUAAGCCCACCAUUUGUACUUAUUUUUUAUGUGCAAUAAAUAAAUAUAAUAUUCAGUAAUGUCUUUAGAAUUUUUACAUUACGUAAAAUACUCUAAAGAACUCCAAGGAGGGCUAAAAGUCACCAAAAUGGUGACUUUUGGAACCGUCUAGCAACACUGAUUAAGGAAGGGCAGGGCGGGGCACCAUUAUCGCGUGUUGCCAAUUAUAAAGAAAAAUGUUGGGUAGUAUAAUAUAGAGCCCUAUAACGAGAAAGGCAGUAUAUACAAGUAUUCCCGACGUUUGGACCGUGUAGAUUAUAAUUAUACACGUUUAUAAUCUCUCACGAAUCAGAAAUGUAAAAGUAAAACUCGUGCCACAUUAUAGUCUAAUGAAAUAUUGAGUGGCAACACCCAAUAAAAUGUCAUUCUGACAUUGAUAACUUUGACAAGCUACUCAAGCUCUCUAGCUAGCUAGUCUUUGUUGAGUUCAUGAUGAUAUUCGUGAUAUUUUUGCCGUGAUAUGCAAAUGCAAACAAAAACAAGGGUCAGAGUAUAGCAAAAGGGGCCCGAUUCUGGGACUUAGAAAAAUUUGUGAAGAAUUUUUUUUUGAAGAAGAAAGGGAAAACAUGGAGUGUCUAGAAGUGGUGUCCAAAUUUGUAGGAAAACUCGACGUUUCUGAAGAAAAAUAAGUUCUUUUGGAAAAUCUUGGGAUGCUGAAAGACUUGCUGAUUGAAAAGAUUUGCUUAGUCAAAACAAAAUUUAGAGAAAAUAUCGUCAAUGACUGAUAUCAGUUUUUCUACAUUGAAAAGAAUAAAUAUUGAGGGAAAAGCUAACCAUGGUAUCUUCUGUACUCCAGGGAAGAAAGGAUCAGACAAGCCCACAAGAUAGAGCUAAUCUGGAGCUCAGCAAAGAGAAGAGUCACAAGCAAAAAUUUUGGCAUACCAGCAGCUGACCUUGAAAAACUUAUUCAGGAAGCUUUUGACAGCAUAACACCAGAGCUUUAGAAGAAAAUGACUCAUCAUGUGCUCAAUAUUGAAGCUCAGUGUAAAACCAGAAACAGAAUAAUGGAAGAACUUGAAUCGUUUAUUUUAAGUGUGUUUAAUGAUGAUGACUCUGACAGUAGUUCAGAAUCAAUGGACGCUGAGUUUCUAGAAUCCGAUUUUGAUUAUAGUUCCUAAUAAAGUACAAAACCUUCUUAAUUUUACAUAAUUUUAAAUUAAAGGAAAAAUGGAAAAAUUCACAUAUUAUUUGCAGAUAAAAAAUAACUUCUUAAUUUUACUUAAAUUUUUCCUUGCACAACAUAAUUAUUAGGCUCAUUCACUACAGAGAGUGCUCUGCUCUCGGUCAAUCGGUCAAAUGAACUAGUUGGUCUUUUAGUUCCUUUAGAUCGGUGGUUAUUGGGAGUCAGGGAUGAUUUAGGUCUGAUACAUUUCAUUCCAGACUCCUUUUACAUAUGAUAUUUUUCCAAUCUUUGGUAACUGAAUAUAAUUCCAAGUUUUAGUACCUAUAAUAUUAUCCAAGUUAUAUUUUAUAUAGAAAAUAUUUAAUUUUCCUGCAUAGAUUUAGACCUUAAACAUUCCUUUCAUCUCUUUCACACUUGUGCGAAUGGCAUUUUUUACUGUUUCGUUCCGCCUGUUAUCCAGUUCACUCGGUCAAGCGCUCUCCGAUCCCACUGAACUAUAGGACCUAAUAAGGACCGAUUAAGACCGUGCAAGAUUUAGUUCCUUUCGGUCAUUUAUGGGAUUUCAUUCCUAUCAGUACUUAGCUCAUGACCGACACAAGCCUACAACGUAUCAGCAUUGCGAUACAACGAGCAAAUGUCUCCAGCAUCCUUGGUACAAUGCCUAAAUGGCGUAGCUAUUGUAGACUAGGCUAGUUCUUAAUUUCAUUUCAUUAUGAUUUUAUUUAUUAUUGUAGAGAAAUAAAUGAUUAUGACAUUUUA